UACGUAGGGUCCGAGCGUUGUCCGGAAUUACUGGGCGUAAAGAGCUCGUAGGUGGUUUGUCGCGUUGUUCGUGAAAACUCACAGCUCAACUGUGGGCGUGCGGGCGAUACGGGCAGACUAGAGUACUGCAGGGGAGACUGGAAUUCCUGGUGUAGCGGUGGAAUGCGCAGAUAUCAGGAGGAACACCGGUGGCGAAGGCGGGUCUCUGGGCAGUAACUGACGCUGAGGAGUGAAAGCGUGGGGAGCGAACAGG
rnacentral:rRNA from 1 species